AGAUUGAACGCUGGCGGCAGGCCUAACACAUGCAAGUCGAGCGGUAGAGAGGUGCUUGCACCUCUUGAGAGCGGCGGACGGGUGAGUAAUGCCUAGGAGUCUGCCGUAGUGGUGGGGGAUAACGUUCGGAAACGGACGCUAAUACCGCAUACGUCCUACGGGAGAAAGCGGGGGACCUUCGGGCCUCGCGCCAUUAGAUGAGCCUAGGUCGGAUUAGCUAGUUGGUGAGGUAUGGCUCACCAAGGCGACGAUCCGUAACUGGUCUGAGAGGAUGAUCAGUCACACUGGAACUGAGACACGGUCCAGACUCCGUACGGGAGCGAGCAGUGGGGAAUAGUUGGACAAUGGGACGAAAGCCUGGAUCCGAGCCCAUCGCCGCGUGUGGUGGAAGAAGGUCCUUACGGAUUUCGGUAAAGCUAACUUUAAGGUUCGGAAGGUAAGGUUAGUAACUUAAUUACGUUAGCAACGUUUGACGUUACCGACAG
rnacentral:rRNA from 1 species